GCUCCCUGCUUGGGAAACACUGACAUAGACAGUGAUUUACAGCUCCCAGCAGAUCUUUAUUACUUUUAUAUGUAAGGAUUUGCUUUAUCUAUAUUAGUUAUCUACUUGUUUUUCUUUAAUUCUCACUUUUUCCUAUUUUUGGAUGACAUUUUGGUGUCUUUAGAACCAACUACCAGGUUUCCAUAGAGUUAUGGUCUCUACAUACAAUGGUUUCAACAUACAAUGGUCGUCCCAGAACCAAUUAAUAUUGUAACUUGAGGGAUCACUGUAAUCCCCAGGGGAGAAAUGAUCCCGCUACACCGUGACCACAUACUACCACCCCCUGAUGGCUGCAUAAUACCCCCAUACUGUUACUGGAUACAAAACAGUGACUUAGCCAUUUCCAAGGGAUUAGGAGAAAAUGGCGCAAUGUCCAAAGCGGGUGAAGUGAAUAGAGGCCGCGGAGUCUCCAUUCUGAUCGGACAGCAGGGUUAUAUCCACCAAUCACAUACUUACAUUUGAUUCCAUCGUCUGAUGAGGAGGACAUCGUCCUGUAAGUGAAUCCUCAUUAUACCUGCAGGCUCUAUAGCGCCCCUAUAGGUUAUUAUGGGGUUAGGGGUCUUCUCUUCUAGUUUGGAUUGAUGCAGAUAAAGAACAGUGCCCCGGCGUUCAGACCCGGAAGAUUCCCAAAAAAGGUUUCUAAAAUGCCGUACAUAAGCGAAGUAACAGAACUUCGAGGGGACAUCCCACCAGCCCCAAAGAGGAAGAAUAGAAAGAGGAGACAAACUAACUCUUCAGUCGCAUUGGAUGCAGACACUAUAAGAUUCAAGAAUAAAGUGAUAACAACGAAGCGAGCCUUCAGACCAGAACAACAUCCAAAAAAGGUCUCCAGAGCAACACCACUGCAAAACAUCAUUGAAAGAGCUGCAGAGGAAUGGGAGGCCAGAAAACCAGAAAAUACUGUGGAGAAGAUGGAUGGAGGGAUGGAAAGAUCGGAGAAGAAGGAGUAUGGAGGAAUGGAAAUAUCAGAGGAGAAGGAGGAUGGAGGAAUGGAAAGAUCAGAGAAGAAGGAGGAUGGAGGAAUGGAAAGAUCAGAGGAGAAGGAGGAUGGAGGAAUGGAAAGAUCAGAGGAGAAGGAGGAUGGAGGAAUGGAAAGAUCAGAGGAGAAGGAGGAUGGAGGAAUGGAAAGAUCAGAAAAGAAGGAGGAUGGAGAAAUGGAAAGAUCGGAGGAGAAGGAGGAUGGAGGAAUGGAAAGAUCAGAGGAGAAGGAGGAUGGAGGAAUGGAAAGAUCAGAGGAGAAGGAGGAUGGAGGAAUGGAAAGAUCAGAGGAGAAGGAGGAUGGAGGAAUGGAAAGAUCAGAGGAGAAGGAGGAUGGAGGAAUGGAAAGAUCAGAGGAGAAGGAGGAUGGAGGAAUGGAAAGAGCAGAGGAGAAGGAGAAUGGAGGAAUGGAAAGAUCAGAGGAGAAGGAGGAUGGAGAAAUGGAAAGAUCAGAGGAGAAGGAGGAUGGAGGAAUGGAAAGAUCAGAAAAGAAGGAGGAUGGAGAAAUGGAAAGAUCGGAGGAGAAGGAGGAUGGAGGAAUGGAAAGAUCAGAGGAGAAGGAGGAUGGAGGAAUGGAAAGAUCAGAGGAGAAGGAGGAUGGAGGAAUGGAAAGAUCAGAGGAGAAGGAGGAUGGAGGAAUGGAAAGAUCAGAGGAGAAGGAGGAUGGAGGAAUGGAAAGAUCAGAGGAGAAGGAGGAUGGAGGAAUGACGAUACAGAAAGAGACAGCAAGAGAGGAAGAGACUGUGAUUUUUAGAACACCAAGCGGCCGGUCCAGACAACGACUGAGGGACAUAAAACAAAUACAAAAAGAAAAAAAAAUAGAUAAAAAGAAAAAAAGCUAAAAAAAAAAUAAAAAAAUAAAAAAAACUUGUGCACCAUCUACCACCUACCUGACAGCUCAGAGUACUGUGCUCAAUCUACCACCUACAUGAAAGCUCGGAGUAACUGUGCACCAUCCACCACCUACCUGACAGCUCAGUGUACUGUGCAUCAGACAAAAAAAAUAAAAAAUAAAAAUAAAAAAAAGAAAAAAAAAUAAAAAAUAAAAUAAAAAACCUGUGCACCAUCCACCAGCUACCUGGCAGCUCAGAGUACUGUGCACCAUCCACCACCUACCUGACAGCUCAGAGUACUGUGCAUCGGACAAAAAAAUACAAAAAAUAAAAAAUAAAACAAAGAAAAG